UACGUAGGGGGCUAGCGUUGUCCGGAAUCAUUGGGCGUAAAGAGCGUGUAGGCGGCCCGGUAAGUCCGCUGUGAAAGUCGGGGGCUCAACCCUCGGAUGCCGGUGGAUACUGUCGGGCUCGAGUACGGAAGAGGCGAGUGGAAUUCCUGGUGUAGCGGUGAAAUGCGCAGAUAUCAGGAGGAACACCUAUUGCGAAGGCAGCUCGCUGGGACGUUACUGACGCUGAGACGCGAAAGCGUGGGGAGCAAACAGGAUUAGAU
rnacentral:rRNA from 1 species